rnacentral:lncRNA from 1 species
CGGAACGGAGGCCAAGACGCAGCGUGAACCGCAGAGGUGAGGCCAUUUCCGGGUAACGUUCGGCCACAACGCUUGCACCCCAGGCUUCCCUGGCCCAGGGCAAGGACAGCCGCAGACUGCGUAACUCCAGCUGCUAAGGCAGACUCCAGAAGCUCAGCUGCCCUCCGCGCCGAGGCCGCAGUGCUGUGCAGAAGUGCACCUGGCUGCACACACUGAAGAGCAACCGGCACCGAAACACAGCGUGCUGAGGGCUGACCUCCACUCAGGAGCGAAGAGAGCGAACAAACCCCCAUGUCAGUUGGCAGAGCCUGGGCCACCUACACGUUCCGAACCUCUCGGGGCCUCAGUGUCUCUCGGUGUAUAUUUGGAAUUAAAGAUGGGCGAGACCAAAAUAUGAAACAAGGGAGCCCACCCUAGAGAAACAACCACCACUGCAGACCCCAGCGGGCUACUGUGACGUACACCGGCUUCUCUUCCUAGCGAGCCAGAAUCAUUCUGAGAGACCAGCGAUGAAGCCCACCCGGCAUACACCGCUCUGAACCCGGGAAGCGGGCAGGCUCGUCCUGCAAGUACUUAGUCCCAACGCUCACGUAUUUUACCCAGCCAACUGCUCAUUUUGCUGCGUGAACUUGCCUGUCCAACCGGAGAGUGCGCUUCUCUGUCCUCAGCAGGAGAUGGCGACAGAGCUCCACCCCAGUCCCUGAAGACUGGCUAAAAAGCAGGAACGGGAAAAAGCGAAAAGGAAGGGAAAGGAGGAGUGGAGGGAUCAGAAAUGACUUCUGUCAACAAACUCUUAGGAAGGGAGAAAUAAAACCACUGGUUUCAGUCUUUAGAACUGAGCUCUCAUUCUAGCCCAUUGAGAAGCACAAGAGGACAAAAUGCAGAAAAACCCCUGACAUCCAAAUUUGCAACAAAUAAGUGGGAGAUACAGAAUCUAUUCCUAAUCUUAAGCCCAGAUAAAACACCACUGACUUGUUAGCCGUCUACCGUGAGCCGUGAGUUGUUCUUAGGGUUUCUCUGCAGACCCUGGGCAAGCAAACCUCUCAGCAAUGCCCCCACUUCUGUGCUCAGAGCUCUGUCUUCUGUUUAAAAGGAGCGUCCAGGAACAGGGUCUCCUGGUCCCCGGCCCCAGCUGAGUAGAGCCGGUGCUCAUGAAAAUUCCUCUCCCACUGGGGAAGCCACAGCCACUUGCCCCAG